GCCAGGCACGGUGUCGCGCUUGUAGUCCCAGCUACUCGGGAGUCUGAGGGUGAAGGAUCGCUUGAGCCCAGGAGUUCUGGGCUGUAGUGCACUAUGCUGAUCAGGUGUCCGCACUAAGUUCGGCAUAAAUAUGGUGACCUCCUGGGAGCUGGGGACCACCAGGUCGCCUAAGGAGGGGUGAACUGGCCCAGGUCGGAAAAGGAGCAGGUCAAAUCCUGUGCUGAUCAGUAGUGGGAUUGCGGCUGUGCAUAGCUACUGCACUUCAGCCUGGACUACAUAGCGAGACCCCGUUUCU
rnacentral:SRP_RNA from 1 species